UGUCGCCAUCACAAUUGUUUUCAAACCAGUUUCGACUGAUCACUGUGACAAUUUUUUAACGGCUUCUUGAUUUGCUGGGAUUUCUUGCAGGAUGUCUGAUGAAAACAACAAAGUAAAGAUUGCAGAGUAUGGCUCAUGGUCAAGUCCUAUAACAUCUGAAAUAGCUGUACAAGAUGGUGGUCUGCCGUUUCCGUGUGUCUCUGAAAUACACACAUCUGAAAACGCAAACAACGAAGGUAUAGAGUCGAGAUACAGAAAGUGCUAUAACCAUUCAUUUUAUAGUUUCUAUGUAAACCUGCAUUCCGUGUGAACCGGCUGUCAAGUUGAACGCCGGUCCAGGCUAUUGCAGUCACCACCUGACUUUCCAUUUCGCAUUACAUUACGAUUCAAUUUUUCUAAAAUAAAUAUCUCGGCGAGUAUUUACCCCCCUUAAACAAAACCCACCAUUGUAGCUAAUACUCACAAAAUAACCUUUCGAACGGGGGGUCAAGUGCCGUCAAAACAUUACGCAAACAGAAACAAUCAUAUAUUAUAGUCACCUCUUCGCCAAACAUUCAAAAGAGAAAAAGUUGAAUAUAUUCUAAACUUGUCGUCAUUUUCUGAAAGGCUAUAUGUGUAAAAUACUCUUUGUAUUCAAGCGCUUUCGUGUAGAAAGUUUCGUAUGUAUACGGCGACUAGAAAUAUUUAUUUUGAAUUUUUAAAGUAUCGGGUUUUACUCGCACGCGCUUGUAUUACGUAAUACUUGGCCAAUAAGGGAGCUCCUUUAGCCGGGAUGACGUAAAACUCGCGCGUAUGGGUACACUUUGACCUGUAGAAUCCAUUUCUGGCAUUUCCAGAGUCACGCGAUACAAGCGUAGCAUUGUUUUGACGGUUUUUCGUGGUAUUUCCGGUUGGGAUUAACGCAAAUUCGGAGCAGAAAUGUAAAAUUCGGCACUAAAAGUCACACUUUAAAGUACGGAAGCCCAGAGGCGACAGCAUAAAAUCACUUUUGUAUUUUACAUUUUUGUGUUUUAUAUUUUGUAUUUUUGUGUUUUAUAUUUUGUAUUUUAUAUUUUGUAUUUUAUAUUUUGUAUUUUAUAUUUUUGUGUAAUUAUAAUGUUCUUAGACGUGGGAUUAAUUUAUAGUCAUUUAGUAAUACAAAUUGUGAUAUUUAACAACAAUACAUAUGUCAAAAUAUGAUUACAAGCUAUAGUAUAGAGACAUUGUAUUUUGACUGCGCGAAAUGCGUGUUACAUACUGAACGCUUGUUUAAAGAGCAUUACUGAACGCGCAUUACUAAGAUACACAUACCGAAUUCGCCAUGCAGACAUUAGCAUUACUCCCGUAACUGUAAGGCUCAGUUCAGACUGCGACAUUUUCAAGCGCUUCAUUUCUUACGGCACAACCGCACAAGUUCGGCAACUGAUUUAGAGUUUAGACGUCGCUCUUCUAGAUCUGUCGUACUUAUAAAUCGUUGUAUUACGGGCGGCGCAUGAGAAAGUUUGCCGUCUAAACCGAGUCUAAGGCUGUCUGCAUGGCGAAUUCGGUAUCCGCAUCUCAGUUAUUGAUAUGCGCGCGAUUAAUGCUCUUUAUUUAAACAAUCGUUUAGUACGUAACACGCAUUUCGCGCAGUAAAAUACAAUGUCUCUAUAUGACUCUAUAUUGCUUGUAUUCCUUGUAAUCAUGUUUGUCAAAUGCAUUGUUGUAUAAAAGUAAAAAGCUGGGCUGAAACAUAAUAUAAACUAAGUAAAAUUAUAAAAGUAAAAAAACAUAAAAGUGAAAAUAUAAAAGUGAAAAUAUAAAAGUGAAAAUAUAAAAGUGAAAAUAUAAAAGUGAAAAUAUAAAAGUGAAAAUAUAAAAGUGAAAAUAUAAAAGUGAAAAUAUAAAAGUGAAAAUAUAAAAGUGAAAACAUAAAAGUGAAAAUAUAAAAGUUAAAGUUGGAGAUGAGCGUCUAAGCAGGAAGACCACCUGGGGCUGUGGGAUGUGAUUCAGUAUUUCAUUGAUGUCUGACUUGCAACCGAAAGACACGAUAUCGUUGGCUGCUGACAUGGCCGGAAUUCCACUGCGUAUCGCAGUAAAACCGAAUCCAGCUUUCGGGUAUGUAACCGUCUUUAUACGCAUGGCCUAAAAACUUUCUUACUGCCAAAAUAAGUUGUGCCUAAAACUGUGAAAGUGAAAAUAUAAAAGUUAAAAUAUAAAAGUUAAAAGUGAAAAUAUAAAAGUGAAAAUAUAAAAGUGAAAAUAUAAAAGUGAAAAUAUAAAAGUGAAAAUAUAAAAGUAAAAAUAUAAAAGUGAAAAUAUAAAAGUGAAAAUAUAAAAGUGAAAAUAUAAAAGUGAAAAUAUAAAAGUGAAAAUAUAAAAGUAAAGUUAGAAAUGAGCGUCUAAGCAGGAAGACCACCUGGGGCUAUGGUAUGUGAGGCUGUAGAUAAAAGGCGGACGACGGACGACGGAGCAUUUUAUAAACACAUGAUUACUACCGCAACUAAUUAUAAUACCCUAUAAAUGAAAGUACACCAGCCUUAGAUCUGUGAAAUGAAUAUGUUUUCACCCGUUCGAAUUUUUAGCCAUGGAAUUUAAUUUAAUCAGCAUUCAAUAUGUAUGUAUGAUAGGAGGCUAUUCGCCGUCUUUCGCGUGAAACUUUUGGAAAUAUUGUAAAAAAGCGCGGCUUAGUUUUGGUGCUUCUGUAUAUAACUGCCCUAGCACUGCCAUUGAAUUUAAAUAUUAUUAGGCGGGACUAUUACAUGACAUUCACUUGCUGUCAUUUUCAUACUUUACAUUGUGCUGACCUAGCCUCCUCCGCAGGCAUCGCUUUUCGAUUAUCAGACAAAGCGCUGACCUAUAAUCCCCGUUUUACUUACUAAAAGGCUAACACGUGCCAAGGUCCAUUCAUGUGAGUGCUUAUACACAUUACUAUUCCACUGUGUAUAAAUGUAGAACGAAAUUAUAACCUUCCCUAAGCCUUUCAAAUACAUUUAAAAUA